UAGCAUUGCCAUUCAGAAAAUGACUUUCAGCCUAUCUGAGCUUCUGCUCGGAACCUUUAGUUUGUUACUGCACCCUAACUUGCCUCUGUGUGUUGUGGUUGCUCCUCCUCUUCUGUUUCCUGGUGAAAGUUCUAUCGACUCCACGACCCUUCUGUGAAAAUGAACACACACAAAAGUGUCAGAGCAGAGCCAAGAGGAGAAGGAAAAGUGGGACACAGGAAGGUUGCAGAUACUACCAGAGGGAAGAGGAAGAGAAAAAGAUGCUGAUUUCUAUCCUUAAAAGCCGCUUGGGCCAGCAUCAUGAUUCCAUCCGCUUUCGUCAGCUGUUAUAUCCAGACUCCUCCUGUGAGGUGUGUAAUAAUGCAACCCCUGAGAUGAAUCAGCUGCUGUCCUCAUUGGCCUUGGAAGAUGCUACUCUCUCUGUGUCCCCUUUGGCUUCCACAGCUCCUGUGACCUAGCCCAUGUUCACUCUGUCCCCUGCGUUCUCAGCAGUUCCUCCAGGAGAACUAAUACAACUUACACUGCCUGA